rnacentral:lncRNA from 1 species
GCAUACUUGAUUAAUCAUCUCCCUUCAGCUAUCCUAUCUGGAAAGAUACCUUAUGAAGUAUAAUUGAAAAGCCCACCUAUCACCAAUUAGGUGUCUUUGGUUAUCUUUAUUCUGCACAUAAUCAUAUCCUUAGUCGACACAAAUUUGCUUCAUAGGCUACUCGAUAUAUUUUUGUAGGAUAUCCUUUUAGCCAAAAGGGCU